AUAUAGGUUGUUCUAACAACCACAAAAGAAACAUCACAACAGAG
rfam:Columba livia unplaced genomic scaffold scaffold123, whole genome shotgun sequence.